AGAGUUUGAUCCUGGCUUCAGAACGAACGCUGGCGGCGUGCCUAACACAUGCAAGUCGAGCGCGAAAAGAGCAAUCUGAGUAGAGCGGCGCACGGGUGCGUAACACGUGGAUAAUCUGCCUUUGGGUCGGAGAUAACCUUUCGAAAGAUUGGCUAAUAUCCAAUAAGCUUACGAGCUCUUCGGAACUUGUGAGAAAAGUAGACCUCUAUUUAUAAGUUUACGCCUGAAGAUGAGUCCGCGGCCCAUCAGCUAGUUGGCGGGGUAACAGCCCACCAAGGCUACGACGGGUAGCUGGUCUGAGAGGACGAUCAGCCACACUGGAACUGAGACACGGUCCAGACUCCUACGGGAGGCAGCAGUGGGGAAUUUUCCACAAUGGGCGAAAGCCUGAUGGAGCAACGCCGCGUGUGUGAUGAAGGUCUUCGGAUCGUAAAGCACUUUCGACCGGGAAGAAAAACCUCUGGCUAACAUCCAGGGGCCUGACGGUACCGGGAGAAGAAGCACCGGCUAACUCUGUGCCAGCAGCCGCGGUAAUACAGAGGGUGCAAGCGUUGUUCGGAAUUAUUGGGCGUAAAGCGCGUGUAGGCGGCUUGGCAAGUCAGAUGUGAAAGCCCAUGGCUUAACCAUGGAAGUGCGUCUGAAACUGCUGAGCUUGAGUCUCGGAGAGGGUGGCGGAAUUCCGCAAGUAGAGGUGAAAUUCGUAGAUAUGCGGAGGAACACCGGUGGCGAAGGCGGCCAUCUGGACGAGUACUGACGCUGAGACGCGAAAGCGUGGGGAGCAAACAGGAUUAGAUACCCUGGUAGUCG
rnacentral:rRNA from 1 species